rnacentral:rRNA from 1 species
CAGUCGCCGCGGUAAAACGAAGGGGGCUAGCGUUGCUCGGAAUUACUGGGCGUAAAGGGAGCGUAGGCGGACAUUUAAGUCAGGGGUGAAAUCCCAGAGCUCAACUCUGGAACUGCCUUUGAUACUGGGUGUCUUGAGUGUGAUAGAGGUAUGUGGAACUCCGAGUGUAGAGGUGAAAUUCGUAGAUAUUCGGAAGAACACCAGUGGCGAAGGCGACAUACUGGAUCAUUACUGACGCUGAGGUGCGAAAGCGUGGGGAGCAAACAGGAUUAGAUACCCCGGUAGUCCCUGUCUCUUAUAC